rnacentral:tRNA from 1 species
AUCUGGUUGGCUUAGUCAGUAGAGCAUGUAACUCUUGAUCUCAGGGUUGUGAGUUCAAGCCCCACACUGGGUG